rfam:Firmicutes bacterium CAG:882 genomic scaffold, scf194
UAUAAUAAGACCAUCAAUGGAUAUAGCGCGAGACUGCUUGCAGGCAGAGCGAUAUAUCCAUUAGAUGGUCAAACAGACAUGAGCAAGUAAUAGUUCAGCGAAGCUGAACUUAUGGAUUGCGAAUGGAUGUUAUGGUUUCGGAAGUUCGAAGAACGGAGAAACCAUAAUUAUUAUG